UACGUAGGGCGCAAGCGUUAUCCGGAAUUAUUGGGCGUAAAGAGCUCGUAGGCGGUUUGUUGCGUCUGCUGUGAAAGCCCGGGGCUCAACUCCGGUUCUGCAGUGGGUACGGGCAGACUAGAGUGCAGUAGGGGAGACUGGAACUCCUGGUGUAGCGGUGAAAUGCGCAGAUAUCAGGAGGAACACCGAUGGCGAAGGCAGGUCUCUGGGUUGUAACUGACGCUGAGGAGCGAAAGCAUGGGGAGCGAACAGG
rnacentral:rRNA from 1 species